rnacentral:rRNA from 1 species
GACGAACGCUGGCGGCGUGCCUAAUACAUGCAAGUCGAGCGCAGAAGCGAGGAGCUUGCUCUUCUUGGUUGAGUUGCGAACGGGUGAGUAACGCGUAGGUAACCUGCCUUGCAUCGGGGGAUAACUAUUGGAAACGAUAGCUAAUACCGCAUAACAAUGGAUUACACAUGGCAUUUUGGUGAAAUGGGGAAUUGCUCGACUACAAGAUGGACCUGCGCUGUAUUAGCUGGUAGGUGAGGUAAUGGCUCACCUAGGCGACGAUGCAUAGCCGACCUGAGAGGGUGAUCGGCCACACUGGGACUGAGACCCGGCCCAGACUCCUACGGGAGGCCCCAGUAGGGAAUCGUCGGCAAUGGGGGCAACCCUGACCCAGCAGCGCCGCGUGAGUGAAGAAGGUUUUCGGAUCGUAAAGCUCUGUUGUGAGUCAAGAACGGGUGUGAGAGUGGACAGUUCACACUUUGCCGGAAUCUGACCAGAAGCAGCGGCUAAACUACGG